rnacentral:tRNA from 1 species
GCCCGGAUGGCGGAAUUGGUAGACGCACAGGACUUAAAAUCCUGCGAUAGAAAUGUCGUGCCGGUUCGAUUCCGGCUCCGGGCA